AACGCGAAGAACCUUACCAGCCCUUGACAUCCCGGUCGCGGGAACGAGAGAUCGAUCCCUUCAGCUCGGCUGGACCGGAGACAGGUGCUGCAUGGCUGUCGUCAGCUCGUGUCGUGAGAUGUUGGGUUAAGUCCCGCAACGAGCGCAACCCUCGCCCUUAGUUGCCACCGGGUAAUGCCGAGCACUCUAUGGGGACUGCACGGGUCAACCGUGAGGAAGGCGGGGAUGACGUCAAGUCAUCAUGGCCCUUAUGUCCAGGGCUACAAGCGUGCUACAAUGGAUUACACAAAGGGUCGCAAACUCGCGAGAGCCAGCUAAUCCCAAAAAGUAAUCCUCAGUUCGGAUCGGAGUCUGCAACUCGACUCCGUGAAGUUGGAAUCGCUAGUAAUCGCGGAUCAGCCACGCCGCGGUGAAUACGUUCCCGGGCCUUGUACACACCGCGCAUA
rnacentral:rRNA from 1 species